GACGAACGCUGGCGGCGUGCUUAACACAUGCAAGUCGAGCGGUAAGGCCCUCGGGUACGACGAGCGGCGAACGGGUGAGUAACACGUGGGUGGACCUGCCUCUAGCUCUGGGAGUAAGCCUGGGAAACGUGGGUCGUAAUACCGGAUAUGACUCCACGGCGCAUGUUGUGGGGUGGAAAGCCUUGUGUGGCUAGAGAUGGGCCCGCGGCC
rnacentral:rRNA from 1 species